CAGAGGGUCGUCAAAAACAAAAAUGCAUCUCGGGUGGUGGCCUCUGCCCAAAUAGCUGUCCAAAAACUUUCUGCCUUGGGCUAUAUGCCCAUAUUAUUUAUCAGCCAGAGGCACAAGGGCACAGGCAAGUUGAUGGCAGAUGUAGUCACGCAUCUGCCACCGACGCAAAACAACACACGUUUCUUAACCAGCAUGAAGAGGGCAUAUGACUUCAUAAUCAAACUGGAUGAUGUGCCCCAGCCCCAGCCCCAGCAAGACCAGCCCCUCCACCUAGACCAACCCCCUACCCCAAGACCAGCCCCUGCCCCUAGACCAGCUAAUCCCACAAGACCAGCCCCCAGACCAGCCUCUGCCCCUAGACCAGCCCCAGAAAGACCAGCUCCUGCCCCUAGACCAGCUAAUCCCACAAAACCAGCCCGUAGACCAGCCCCAGCAAGACCAGCCCCUGCCCCUAGACCAGCUAAUCCCACAAGACCAGCCUACCCCAACAGACCAGCAAAUUAUUAAACUUGAACUAUUUACGAUCGACUCACAGGCUCAGCAGCAUGUGGAGCCUCUACCACCCAGGAAAAGACAAACCCCACUAUCCACCCCGGGCCUACCAUCCACCCCAGGCCAAGGCAAACGAGCC
ensembl:lncRNA